rnacentral:lncRNA from 1 species
UCUUGCCCGCACAUGUGAGUCAAGAUAUUCAGAUGCGUGACAUGCCUUUGGUGGGGGGCCUCAAGGCCGCAUGAGCUAAACUUGAGUUCUUUAUGGGCCAACCCGAAGCUUUUCCCUUCUUACCAUGCAAUCCCUUAAGCUUGUGGAGUGUCAUGUUAGCCUUAAGCCCACUUUCUUGAAUCAAUUUGGACCUUUCUUGCUAUUGGCCCAGUUUAGGAAACCUUAUUAGGCCAAAAAUUAAGGCUCAUUUGAAGUUAGACUUGCAGGAGUCCUUGUGAGAGUGAAAUUCUUUAGUCUCGCAAGGAAAAUUCCCCUCCUACGAGUGUGGGUGAAUCUUUGGGUGUUGUUACGGCGCAUGUAGAUGUGUUCACAUAUUGGGGAGUGCGUACAUGACCUUCUUACUGCAUGUGUGUAUGCGUUGCAUCUUGCCCGUGCGGUUAUGUAGGUAGCUAUACCGUGGGAUUUUCGUUGCUUGUGGGAUUUCUGUUUCUUGCAGGAUUCAUGUGACUCGUAAAAAUGCUUCCCUUGGUUAUCGCUACUCACAUCACCUUCUUUCAU